AGAGCCACUUUCCAGCUCUGCUCAGCUGGACAAGAUCAAGAGAAUGGCGUCCAAGUAGGAGUUUUCUUCCCCGAUUCUCAUGGCAUAGUUGUGCCCAACUGGACUUGAAGGUACCUGCAAUUUAACUUCUUCCUGCAUGAAUGGAGUUGGAGCCCCAUUUUUGGCUGUGCCAGCACAGCUAUGCUGUCAGUCAUGUGAAAUAGCCUCGGCACAUGAACAGUAGGUGAGAAGUUCAAGUACCAGAGGUCAGCUGAAUGUACCGCAAAUUACAGGUAGCGAGGAAUCAGAACAGUGGAUAGAGUUGGAUUAUGAAGUCCCAGCAACUUUUUUCUGUAUGCAGCUUAACCCUGCCCAUUAUUCAUCUGGUGAAUUCUUCCAGAAUUCUUCCAAGCCACUGACUGAAC